CAUCCAGGCAGCAAAGGAAUAAAAUGGGAAAUAACAGAAAUUUUUAUCAACACCAAUAGUUAUUCUUUUUUUAAUUUCUUUUUUGAAGCAGACAAAUGAAAUUAAUAAAAUAUAAGGGAAUUAGUGGGUUGACGUUCUGACCCACACUCCAUACCAGUAGGUGGCGGAAACCUUAAAGCUGUGUGCCAACUGCCAUAAAACCACACAAGAAGAAGAAGAAGCCAGGCAGCAGGAGGAGCAGCAGGAGGACGUAGCGUAACCUAACGUAAAGACAUCUAUUUGACCCUUUCUUGUGCGCUGAUGGCUAAUCUCCAGUUAAAGGCCCUGUGUCCAAUCCAUUGAAUCUCUGGAGAAGGCAGACCAUAUGUUUCAUGGAGACGCGCUUCGCUCUAGGAUUUUAAGUAAACUUCAGCCCACUCCUUUCCCCGACAAUAUUUCACUGCCUGACUGAAUCUCAUACGGACGGAAAAGCCACUAGGGGGUCUGGGCACCCCAAAGGAAUCAGAGGGCCAUACUAUAGUGUUGACAGGCCUGGAAUUUCACAGCAGGAAAAAUGGGAUGGCAGUGAAGUGGCCUGGAUUAGUGCUUUCAAACAACACUCUUCAGAAAAUCCCCGUUAUACCUAAAUAUUCCUACUGCAGUGACGUGGGUGUUUGGUGCCGUCACUCACCUGCAGGAUGUAGCCUCGGACAUAAUCUCGGAGGGUCCAGCCCAGACCGUGGAGGAUGUGCAGCACCUCUUCCUGCUUGAGCACG